AGGAGAGAGAGGGCGGCCGACGGUAGGACAUUGUCCGGCUGAGGAAGUUCCCUCCUCCACAGGGCAGAUGGGCCGGGAAAUCCGGCCGGGCGAGAGCCCGGGCAAGGGCUCAGAAACGACACAGCCGGGGCGCAGGAUGAUCUGCUGACAGUGACGUUGCCUCCGGAUCUGAUGAAACGGCGACACCCCAUCGGAGCAAGCCCGCACAGCCGGGAUGAUUGCCCAAGGACCGGCGGGUAGGGUGCAUAGUCGAAUGCCGCCUGAAACAGAAGGGGGACUACUACUCUCACCU
rnacentral:RNase_P_RNA from 1 species